GGCUCCGUAGCGUAAUGGCUAACGCAUUGCUUUCCGGUUAACAGCUGUGAUUGGCAAAGAUUGUGGGUUCGAGUCCCGUCGGGGUCG
rnacentral:tRNA from 1 species